rnacentral:misc_RNA from 1 species
CAUUCAGUAGCCCAGCUACUUGUUUACACCCUUGUUUUUUUGCGUACUUAUCGUUUCCUCGGCGGGCUUGCCUGCCGGUUGGACAACUUUAUAACCUUUUUUAAAUCUUCAAUCAGCGUCUGAAUAAUAUACAAUAAUUA